CCUCCUUAACGAGAACCCAGUAGCCUCUCGGUAAAGUGCCUACCUCUAUUACUUGAUCCUGUAGAUUUUUAGAACAGUUAGUCUUAUAGAUGGGGCUAUAGCUCAGCUGGGAGAGCGCCUGGUUUGCAUCCAGGAGGUCUGCGGUUCGAUCCCGCAUAGCUCUACCAACUACUUUAGAGCAAAUUUCAAAGGGGUCAGAAUUUCACUCUGACCCCUUUGAAAUUCUGAAGACCGUUCUUUAACAAUUUGAUGAAUGAAGACAUAUAUAUGUUUGUUAUAUUGUGUUGGAUCGUGCGCGUUUGUGAUGAUCGCGUAGGUGAAGGCGCAGUACCAAUUUUAUGUAUGCUGUAAUUUUAACAAGUUAUACAAGUGCAAAAUCUGUACGGAAAAGUCGUUAUUAGUUGUUUGAAGUAUUCUGUGUAGUUAUGAGUUUUUUGGCUGAGAGGCCAUCUUUUGGGGACGGCAUUAAAGGGCUGUCCUCGAUCGAGCUAAGACAGAGCUUAUGAUUAUUUGGUCAACCAAUGAAGCGUACGUGGGGGAUGCCU
rnacentral:tRNA from 1 species